AGGCCCAAGCACUAGUUAUCAACAUUGAUUUCGAGCCAGCUGCAGUCAUAUUAGGAGGCGAGGGUGAGCACAUAACAUCCCAGAUUUGCACGUCUCCUUCUGUAUUUAUAUAUUGACUUGUCUUUUUCUUUUUGAGACAGUUUUGUUUCUGUGGUUCACUUUUGGGAUUUGUACUCAUUUUGUUAGUAGCUCGGUACUUGUGACUUCCAGGUUCUGGGAAGGAUCGUUUAUUUGUAUAUAAUUUUGUCUUGCUUCCGCC
rnacentral:lncRNA from 1 species